rnacentral:rRNA from 1 species
CGUAGGAUGCAAGCGUUGUUCGGAAUUACUGGGCGUAAAGAGUACGUAGGCGGCAAUGUAAGUCUGAUAUUAAAGACUGGGGCUCAACCUCAGGAGUGUAUCGGAACUACAUAGCUAGAGGACAGUAGAGGAAGUCGGAAUUCUCAGUGUAGCGGUGAAAUGCGUAGAUAUUGGGAAGAACACCGGUGGCGAAAGCGGACUUCUGGGCUGUUACUGACGCUGAGGUACGAAAGCGUGGGGAGCAAACAGGAUU